CUAGUAAAGCAGAAUCCGAGAAUUCAAUCGGCGGCUGUAUGUUGACUGACAAGAAUAUAAUUGCUGUUAAUCCGGCCCUGCUUCUUGUACAAAUGCAUAGUGGGGAGACAUGAACAUUUUUCGAAAUUGCGGCCCUAUCCUCUUGGGAUUUUACGUUGGACAAAUUCUGAAAACGACCCAGAAAUAUAAUUGGAGGUUCAAACCCGUGCGAGGUGAGGUUUGAUAUAUGAAACAGACCAGUCAUGGGGACACGAGAUAUGGAAAGUUUCAGCGUAGUCGUCGCCAAAUCAGGAAUAUUGAGACUUAGACCAGUAUCUUUUUAAGUAGGCAUGUGGGGUAAAGAAGACGCAGAAGCUUCAGUCGGGCACCUUCGGUAACGUAGGCGGUUGAUAUAUUUCCACCACUACAUAUGUUGGAUUGGAAUUUCCCAUUUGAUGCUUUGACUGACUAAAUGAGGAAACUUGGAGGUAAGCUCUUACGGAAUUCUAUCGAGAUAUGUUUAGUAACAUAUUGGUG